UUGUAGCAGUACGAUGGAAAGUCUAGUGGCGAACGGGUGCUUAACACGUGGGCAACCUGCCAGGAAGUGGGGGAUAGCUCGCCGAAAGGCGAAUUAAUACCGCAUGUGAUUAGAGAGGACAUCCUUUCGAAAUUAAAGUCGGGGCAACCUGACGCUUCUUGUGGGGCCCGCGGCCUAUCAGCUAGUUGGUGGGGUAACGGCUCACCAAGGCUUUGACGGGUAGCUGGUCUGAGAGGACGACCAGCCACACUGGGACUGAGACACGGCCCAGACACCUACGGGUGGCAGCAGUCGAGAAUUUUUGACAAUGGGGGAAACCCUGAUCGAGCGACGCCGCGUGGAGGAUGAAGGUCUUCGGAUUGUAAACUCCUGUCAUUGGGGAACAAGGUGCAUACGUUAACUGCGUGUGCAUUGAUAGUACCCGAAGAGGAAGAGACGGCUAACUCUGUGCCAGCAGCCGCGGUAAUACAGAGGUCUCAAGCGUUGUUCGGAUUCAUUGGGCGUAAAGGGUGCGUAGGCGGCGCGGUAAGUCGGGUGUGAAAUCUCGGGGCUUAACUCCGAAACUGCAUUCGAUACUGCCGUGCUUGAGGACUGGAGAGGAGACUGGAAUUUACGGUGUAGCGGUGAAAUGCGUAGAUAUCGUAAGGAAGACCAGUGGCGAAGGCGGGUCUCUGGACAGUUCCUGACGCUGAGGCACGAAGGUCAGGGGAGCAAACGGGAUUAGAUACCCCGGUAGUCCUGACAGUAAACGGUGCACGUUUGGUGUGGGAGGAUUCGACCCCUUCUGCGCCGGAGCUAACGCGUUAAACGUGCCGCCUGGGGAGUACGGUCGCAAGAUU
rnacentral:rRNA from 1 species